rnacentral:tRNA from 1 species
GUGGGGAUGGCGGAAUUGGCAGACGCGUACGUUUGAGGGGCGUAUGGAUUAUCCGUGUGAGUUCAAGUCUCAUUCUCCACACCA